rnacentral:rRNA from 1 species
UGCUUAACACAUGCAAGUCGAACGGCAGCACAGUACGUAGCAAUACGUAUGGGUGGCGAGUGGCGGACGGGUGCGUAACGCGUAGGAAUCUACCCUAAAGCGGGGGAUAACCCGAGGAAACUCGGGCUAAUACCGCAUAAUAUCGAGAGAUCAAAGCUGGGGCAACCUGGCACUUUAGGAGGAGCCUGCGUCCGAUUAGCUAGUUGGUAAGGUAAAAGCUUACCAAGGCGAUGAUCGGUAGCUGGUCUGAGAGGAUGAUCAGCCACACUGGGACUGAGACACGGCCCAGACUCCUACGGGAGGCAGCAGUGGGGAAUAUUGGACAAUGGGGGCAACCCUGAUCCAGCAAUACCGCGUGUGUGAAGAAGGCCUUCGGGUUGUAAAGCUC